UUACGACUCCGACUGGACGUAGAUCUGCCAAGUCUGACCGUAGGCACGGCACGGGGAAGAGGGGGAUCGGAAGGUAUUUCACGACUAGGAGAAGAAACCUUUGAGUCAUUGUCACUGCCACUACUGUUAGAAUUUAAAGACAAGGAACCCAAGGAAGAACCAGAAGAAUCGGUGUUUGAAGAACUUGAAGACGAAAGAGAAAGGAGCGAGCCGGGAGUACCAACAUCACCGGG